rnacentral:rRNA from 1 species
CACGUAGGCGGCUUGUUAAGUCAGGGGUGAAAUCCUGGAGCUCAACUCCAGAACUGCCUUUGAUACUGGCGAGCUUGAGUUCGGGAGAGGUGAGUGGAACUGCGAGUGUAGAGGUGAAAUUCGUAGAUAUUCGCAAGAACACCAGUGGCGAAGGCGGCUCACUGGCCCGAUACUGACGCUGAGGUGCGAAAGCGUGGGGAGCAAACA